AGCCUACGGGACGCAGCAGUGGGGGAUAUUGCACAAUGGGGGGAACCCUGAUGCAGCGACGCCGCGUGGGUGAAGUAGCGUUUCGGCGCGUAAAGCCAUAUCGGCAGGGAAGAAGAUGACGGUACCUGACCAAGAAGCCCCGGCUAACUACGUGCCAGCAGCCGCGGGAAUAAGUAGGGGGCAAGCGUUAUCCGGGUUUACUGGGUGGAAAGGGUGCGUAGGCGGGACGGUAAGUCAGCGGUUAA
rnacentral:rRNA from 1 species